rnacentral:rRNA from 1 species
CCUACGGGUGGCAGCAGUGAGGAAUAUUGGUCAAUGGGCGCGAGCCUGAACCAGCCAAGUAGCGUGAAGGAAGACUGCCCUACGGGUUGUAAACCUCUUUUAUCAAGGAGCAAAGUGCGGCACGUGUGCCUUUUCGUGUGUACUCUAUGAAUAAGCAUCGGCUAACUCCGUGCCAGCAGCCGCGGUAAUACGGAGGAUCCGAGCGUUAUCCGGAUUUAUUGGGUUUAAAGGGUGCGGAGAUGGGUUGUUAAGUCAGUUGUGAAAGUUUGUGGCGCAACCGUAUAAGUGCAAUUGAUACUGGCAGUCUUGAGUAAAGUGGAGGUAGGCGGAAUGCGUGGUGUAGCGGUGAAAUGCAUAGAUAUCACGAAGAACUCCGAUUGCGAAGGCAGCCUACUAAACUGCCACUGACAUUGAUGCACGAAAGUGUGGGUAUCGAACAGGAUUAGAUACCCCUGUAGUC